UUAUAAAUAUGUGCUCAAAUUUUGACCAAGACACAUAGAAAGAUGUUAGGAUUAGAGGCACUAGUAGAGUGUGGGGGCACAUCCAUCAUACACAAGCCUGAUCACAUCUCAUAUCUCAUCUCAUAUCUCAUCUCAUUUCAUAUAUAUUAAAAUAAGGAAAAUUCUAACUAAUGUUACUUAUGAAAAAAUCAUUCAAUAUUCCCAAACUAUAUUAAGUUGUAGAAAAUAUAACCCACUUGGGG
rnacentral:lncRNA from 1 species